AUGCGGGAAACCCUGAUGCAGCAACGCCGCGUGGGCGAUGAAGGCCUUCGGGUUGUAAAGCUCUGUCUUCAGGGACGAUAAUGACGGUACCUGAGGAGGAAGCCACGGCUAACUACGUGCCAGCAGCCGCGGUAAUACGUAGGUGGCAAGCGUUGUCCGGAAUUAUUGGGCGUAAAGGAUGCGUAGGCGGCCUUUUAAGUGGGAUGUGAAAUACCCGGGCUUAACCCGGGAAUGGCAUUCCAAACUGGAAGGCUAGAGUGCAGGAGAGGAAAGUGGAAUUCCCAGUGUAGCGGUGAAAUGCGUAGAGAUUGGGAGGAACACCAGUGGCGAAGGCGACUUUCUGGACUGUAACCGACGCUGAGGCAUGAAAGCGUGGGGAGCAAACAGGAUUAGAUACCCUGGUAGUCCACGCCGUAAACGAUGAGUACUAGGUGUAGGGGAGCCAUUCUCUGUGCCGCAGUUAACACAUUAAGUACUCCGCCUGGGAAGUACGG
rnacentral:rRNA from 1 species